rnacentral:lncRNA from 1 species
UUCUCAUUCCUCCACAUCCUUGCCAGCAUUUGUUAUUGCCUGUCUUUGGAUAAAAGCCAUUUUAACUGGGGUGAUGAUAUCUCAUUGUAGAUUUGAUUUGCCUUGAGAAUGAUCCAUGUGCUGAGGAAAAGAAUGUGCAUGCCGUCCCUCUUAAAUGAAGUGUUCUGCAGGAUCUCACUCUGUCACCCAGGCUGGAGUGCAGUGAUGGACCCACUGCAGGUUUUGCCUCCCAGGCUCAACCUAUCCUCUUGCUUAGACUCAGGAGUAUCUGGGAGUGACUACCGGUGCACACUAUCACACCUGGCUAAAUUUUUAUAUUUGUUAUAUUUGUUAUAGAGAUAGGAUUUCAACAAGUUGCUCGAGCUGGUCUUGAACUCCUGAGCAGAGUUCACAAUCUUAAUACCCUGAAAUUUUGGUGUGACCAGUACAGUUAAUAAAACAAGUUUAUACUGAAAAGAGUCCCACCUUUCUUCCUCACUGAGGACUGUCCUCUAGUGGUUGGAGCAGGCAUCCCACAGAAGCUUUGCCAGUAUCUUGACAUGGUGAUGAGCAGUGCUGUGACCCCACAGGAAGGAGUCAGCAUUUUCAGGAUCAGGGGACAACAAUGGCCAGAGUAGGCAUUUAAGGCUCUUUCUACUCAUCAUAGCCUGGAAAAGAAGGAGGAGGAUUGAGGAAGGGUAAAGGAAACUGGGGGAAAAA